rnacentral:rRNA from 1 species
CAGCAGUCGCCGCGGGAAUACGUAGGUGGCAAGCGUUGUCCGGAAUUAUUGGGCGUAAAGCGCGCGCAGGUGGUCUAAUAAGUCUGAUGUGAAAGCCCACGGCUCAACCGUGGAGGGUCAUUGGAAACUGUUAAACUUGAGUGCAGGAGAGAAAAGUGGAAUUCCUAGUGUAGCGGUGAAAUGCGUAGAGAUUAGGAGGAACACCAGUGGCGAAGGCGGCUUUUUGGCCUGUAACUGACACUGAGGCGCGAAAGCGUGGGGAGCGAACAGGAUUAGAGACCCGAGUAGUCCCUGUCUCUUAUAC